UACGAAGGGGGCUAGCGUUGUUCGGAAUUACUGGGCGUAAAGCGCACGUAGGCGGAUAUUUAAGUCAGGGGUGAAAUCCCGGGGCUCAACCCCGGAACUGCCUUUGAUACUGGGUAUCUAGAGUAUGGUAGAGGUGAGUGGAAUUCCGAGUGUAGAGGUGAAAUUCGUAGAUAUUCGGAGGAACACCAGUGGCGAAGGCGGCUCACUGGACCAUUACUGACGCUGAGGUGCGAAAGCUGGGGGAGCAAACGGG
rnacentral:rRNA from 1 species